rnacentral:rRNA from 1 species
CGUAGGUGGCAAGCGUUGUCCGGAUUUAUUGGGUUUAAAGGGUGCGUAGGCGGCUUGAUAAGUCAGUGGUGAAAGCCGAUCGCUUAACGAUCGAAUUGCCAUUGAUACUGCCAGGCUUGAGUACAGUUGAGGUAGGCGGAAUUGACAGUGUAGCGGUGAAAUGCAUAGAUAUUGUCAAGAACACCAAUUGCGAAGGCAGCUUACUAAAGUGUAACUGACGCUGAGGCACGAAAGUGCGGGGAUCAAACAGGAUUAGAUACCCUGGUAGUCCGCACUGUAAACGAUGAUCACUCGCUGUGUGCGAUAAACUGUACGCGGCUUAGCGAAAGCGAUAAGUGAUCCACCUGGGGAGUACGCCCGCAAGGGUG